UUGGGUAUAAAGUGCGCGUAGGCGGUCGUGUCAGUCGGGCGUGAAAGCCCGGGCUCAACCUGGGAAUUGCGCUCGAGACGGCACGGCUAGAGGUCGAGAGAGGAUGGUGGAACUCCCAGUGUAGAGGUGAAAUUCGUAGAUAUUGGGAAGAACACCGGUGGCGAAGGCGGCCAUCUGGCUCGAUCCUGACGCUGAGGCGCGAAAGCGUGGGGAGCAAACAGGAUUAGAUACCCGAGUA
rnacentral:rRNA from 1 species